rnacentral:rRNA from 1 species
AGUGAACGCUGGCGGUAGGCCUAACACAUGCAAGUCGAACGGCAGCACAGUGAGAGCUUGCUCUUACGGGUGGCGAGUGGCGGACGGGUGAGGAAUACAUCGGAAUCUACUUUUUCGUGGGGGAUAACGUAGGGAAACUUACGCUAAUACCGCAUACGACCUACGGGUGAAAGCAGGGGAUCUUCGGACCUUGCGCGAUUGAAUGAGCCGAUGUCGGAUUAGCUAGUUGGCGGGGUAAAGGCCCACCAAGGCGACGAUCCGUAGCUGGUCUGAGAGGAUGAUCAGCCACACUGGAACUGAGACACGGUCCAGACUCCUACGGGAGGCAGCAGUGGGGAAUAUUGGACAAUGGGCGCAAGCCUGAUCCAGCCAUACCGCGUGGGUGAAGAAGGCCUUCGGGUUGUAAAGCCCUUUUGUUGGGAAAGAAAAGCAGCAGGUUAAUACCCCGCUGUUCUGACGGUACCUAAAGAAUAAGCACCGGCUAACUUCGUG